rnacentral:rRNA from 1 species
UACGUAGGGUGCGGAGCGUUGUCCGGAAUUAUUGGGCGUAAAGAGCUCGUAGGCGGUUUGUUGCGUCUAUCGGUGAAAACCUCGCAGCUUAACUGUGGGCUUGCGGUGGAUACGGGCAGACUUGAGUUCGGUAGGGGAGACUGGAAUUCCUGGUGUAGCGGUGAAAUGCGCAGAUAUCAGGAGGAACACCGGUGGCGAAGGCGGGUCUCUGGGCCGAUACUGACGCUGAGGAGCGAAAGCGUGGGGAGCGAACAGG